rnacentral:rRNA from 1 species
UACGUAGGUGGCUAGCGUUGUCCGGAUUUACUGGGCGUAAAGAGCGCGCAGGCGGUCGUUCAAGUCGAGUGUGAAAGCCCCCGGCUCAACUGGGGAGGGUCACUCGAUACUGAUCGACUCGAAGGCAGGAGAGGGAAGCGGAAUUCCCGGUGUAGUGGUGAAAUGCGUAGAUAUCGGGAGGAACACCAGUGGCGAAGGCGGCUCACUGGCCCGGUACUGACGCUGAGGUGCGAAAGCGUGGGAGGCAACAGG